UCCGGGCAUACUGGCACAUGCCUGUAAUCCCAGUGGGUCAGGAGGCUGCGGCAGGAGGAUCGCCAGUUCAAAGCCACGGCAAUUUAGUGAGGCCCUAAGAAACUUGGCGAGAUCCUGUUUCAA
rnacentral:sRNA from 1 species